CGGCAGUUCCGGACUUGGCCGGUUCCGCGUGGUCGGCGCGUGGUGGGCCCGAUUCAGUCUCCUUCGUUCCCACGCAAGGCAGUCUUGAUCCCAAACAACCGAGGAUGCUAGGGUUCCGCCCGCCAUCGUCGCCGCUCAGUCCGGCCGUCCCGGCGUCCCCCAUCUCUGCGGGUCAUCGCCUCCGUCCCGUCCGUGGAGGCGCAGCUGAACCAGUGGGGCGCCGGCCCGCUGCAAUAUUCCGGUCGGUCCUGAGGGGGCCUCGCCGCGAGCGCACCUCGACGUGUACAGCGUCCAGGCCAACCAAGUCCUAUGGCCGUUCUUCGCUUUCAAUCUCGAGGCCUCAAGACAAUCCCAACUCCUACAUAUUCCACACUCCCUCCUCCAAAUCGAAUCGAAUCAAUCGACCAGCGGCGGAGGAACCGAUGGACGCCGGGGCCGGCCUGAGGAGUGAGGAGCUCCUCUCGGAGACGCUCGCCCGCACCUCCACGCGCGACGCCUGUCGCGCCGCGGCCGACUCUGACUCCGUCUGGCCUGCUUCCUGCCCCGCGUCCUCCCGCCGCUCGCCGCCGGGGAGCUGCCCGUGGCGCCGCCGCCGCGCAAGAAGGACCUCUUCGUCCGCCUCACCGACUGCCCCGUUCUCCUCCCGGACAAACGUGUGGAUCAGGCCUGAUCUCGCCCCGGUCUCUCUUCCCUGCCCUUCCGUAGCGGUGCCGCCAUAAUCCUCGAUGCUGGAUUGGGUGUGGUCGUCUUUGGGCCAUGGAUCCUCACCAGGGUCGUCAUCAUCUUCUUUCGCCUCAGGACGCGGCAAGUGCUUCUCCUCCUCCAUGAACGGCCAGUGUAGAAGCUCGCCUCUGUAUCCAGGACUCCUCAUCUGUCAUUCAGUGUAGAAGCUCGCCUCUGUAUCCAGGACUCCUCAUCUGUCAUUCAGGUAUGCAAGUUCAAUAACCAUUUCUCAAAUCAAGAACACUGAGAUAUCUUACCACUGAUUGAUUUACAUCAUGCCGCUAAAUCAAAGAUUAUAUGCCUUCUAAAAGACAGCAUUCAGAUUUUCACACAUAGAAAACCAAAUAAUGCCAGUAAGCUGAGACAUGUGUUUCAAAUGUUGCGGAUCGAUGAAUGCUUGCAAUGUGACAAAUCAUUGGAGUAGAAGUUGGAAUGCGAGAAAUUAUUUGUAUGCUAGGUAGUGAUAUUUUAUAUCGAUGUUCAAGCUCCAAGGACUGAUUCUAUUGUUGAUGUUUAUCUACCGCAGAUUUUGUCCACGAGUUUGGAGAAUCAUGAUCAGGAUGAAAUUUGAAUAUUUGUAUCAAUUUAGGAUGUUGGUAAAAUGAUCUUACCAGAUACAAGUAGUAGGUUUUCCUGCAGGUAUCGCUCUAAUACUAAAGUUAAAAAUUUCCAUUUUAUAUAGCUUGCAUUAAGUAUAUUUGUGACACACUUUCAUUCGUGGCAUAACAAAAUAUCAAUGUAAGGAAGUAAACCAAGAAACUAAAUGUGAAUAUCAAAAGCAAGUACAAUACUGAGGAUGAUGUUGGUGGAGAAUUUGAUUACGCUUUUAGUUUCCUCCAUCUAGACAAGUUUAAAAAAGAUUACUCAAAUUUUGGCUGCAUGAUUGACAUUAUUAGGGAAUUCCACUAUUUAGUACAUAAUAUACUGUUUAAUACGCCGAUUGGUGUAUGUAAACUGCUUGGGCAUUUAUGAUUGUUUACCAUCGUAGUAUUGCCGAACCAUGGCACAGAGUUUCAGUAACAAAUAUGCAUAGAUUCAUAAUUUCAGUAGCAGUAUUGUACUCAUGUUAAGAUUGUUGUCUCUCUGCUCUUAAUAUGUCUGAUCCAUAUAUACUUCUAUUCAUGGUAUAUCCACUACGUUUCAGUAACAAAGACGCAUAGAUUCAUAAUUUCAGUAGCAGUAUGUAAUUUUGUGGCUUAAUUAUUUCUGUACUAAUUAACGAUUAAUAAUUUCAUUGUGAAACAUUCCUCUUCUCAUAUUCCUGCCAUAUCUGCACCUUCUCUGUGUCAUGUGUCAGUACCAAAAGAUGUUGCUUCCAUGUUAAUAAGCUCUUAUCUUGCGAUUGAAUCUGUGCCAGUUUACACAUUCUGUCACAUGAGAUCAGCUAUUUAGUUUAUUCAGUUAGAUAUAAAUAUUUAUCAUUGCACUAUUAUUUAACAGUCUAUACUAAGGGAAAUAGAAGUACUAACUACUUACUUGGAUUAACUAUGCAAAUCGCUGAAAUGGCACCAUUUCUCUCUUAGUAGAAUCACUUAAAUGUCUCCUCCAGUUGCAAGGAGGUUCUUGCUUUUUUAUUAUUCACACAAUCUAUCCCACCAAGAUUAAUACUAUUCAUGCUAGCAGGCUUUACAAGAUUAAAGUGAAAUCUCUUAUAUUAUUCAGAACAUUUAUGUAUGAUUGUUGGUUGUUAAUCACUAUAUGAAACUAUUAUAUUGUUUAGUAUUUUCGCGGCCAAAGAGACACACAUGCUACAGUAGAAAUAAUUUUGAUACUUUUAUGUACUUACAGGUUAGUGGGGAAUGGAACAUGCCCUGAAGUUUGCAUUUCCAGCUAUGUUUGUCAACCAAGGCAUACAUCAUUAUUAAAUUUGCAUGUGCAUAGUUUUACCUCAUCUAUAAAUCUGUGACUGAUGAUAUGCGGUAAUUGUUGUAUAUUUUUUCAUAAUAGCAUGCUACAGCCAUAAUAUCUUUGUAAGGCACAUAUACUGUUCCAUAUGCAAAUACUGUUCGAAGCAAUAUAUAUUUCUAUUCUUUUAUUGAUCGUAUAACCAUCUGACAAGCAUAUAACUCAAUUAAAAGAUGUAAUUUAAGGAAAUUUAUAGAAAAAAGAUGAUAAUUGAAUAAAAUGAGUGAUUUACUGUAUAUCAAAUGUUACCAUGAAUAUGUUAUAUUCAAUAAUUUACUAAAAUAUAUAGAAGCAUAAAGAAAAGUAAGAGAUAAAAAGAAUGUAAUGCAAAAAUGGCAUGGUCUCCUGACGUAGGCUUGCACACUCCGCCGCCUCUGCCUACCUCGGUAUGUGUGCAUGUGAUGGAUCUCAUGUUGGUUUGGUCUGCUAAGUGCCGGUGCUGAAAGCUUUUUUUUUUGCUGCAGGUCCAUGUAGUGAUGAUCCAGAUUUGCAUUCGGGAAAUCAUUCUGAGAAAAAUGAAGAGGCAGCUAUUCCCAUAUGGUGCUGAGAAGUUAGGGAAGAAGGUGUUGUGAAUUUGUGAUACAUGCCUUUGUCGUAUCACUAUAUGCGUUUUUUCCCCAGUUGUGCGAUUCCUGACUUGGUCAUAACUGUAUUAUCAAAAUGUGUGGAACUCCAAGUAGCUGCUCUUUCAUUGGAGCAGGUUGCAUCAGAAAGGCGUUUGCUGCAUCCUCA